rnacentral:rRNA from 1 species
UACGUAGGGUGCAAGCGUUGUCCGGAAUUAUUGGGCGUAAAGGGCUCGUAGGCGGUCUGUCGCGUCAGGAGUGAAAACUCGGGGCUUAACCCCGAGCCUGCUUCUGAUACGGGCAGACUAGAGGUAUGCAGGGGAGAAUGGAAUUCCUGGUGUAGCGGUGAAAUGCGCAGAUAUCAGGAGGAACACCGGUGGCGAAGGCGGUUCUCUGGGCAGUAACUGACGCUGAGGAGCGAAAGCGUGGGGAGCGAACAGG